UACGGGGGGGGCAAGCGUUGUUCGGAAUUACUGGGCGUAAAGGGCUCGUAGGCGGCCAACUAAGUCAUACGUGAAAUCCCUCGGCUUAACCGGGGAACUGCGUCUGAUACUGGAUGGCUUGAGUUCGGGAGAGGGAUGCGGAAUUCCAGGUGUAGCGGUGAAAUGCGUAGAUAUCGAGAGGAACACCUGCGGCGAAGGCGGGUUGCUGGGCCGACACUGACGCUGAUGCGCGAAAGCGUGGGGAGCAAAAGGG
rnacentral:rRNA from 1 species